rnacentral:rRNA from 1 species
UACGUAGGGUGCAAGCGUUGUCCGGAAUCAUUGGGCGUAAAGCGCGUGUAGGCGGUCCGGUAAGUCCGCUGUGAAAGUCGGGGGGCUCAACCCUCGAAUGCCGGUGGAUACUGUCGGGCUAGAGUGCGGAAGAGGCGAGUGGAAUUCCUGGUGUAGCGGUGAAAUGCGCAGAUGUCAGGAGGAACACCUAUUGCGAAGGCAGCUCGCUGGGACGUAACUGACGCUGGAGACGCGAAAGCGUGGGGAGCAAACAGG